GCAUAUCAAUAAGCGGAGGAAAAGAAACCAACAGGGAUUGCCCCAGUAACGGCGAGUGAAGCGGCAACAGCUCAAAUUUGAAAUCUGGCUCUCGGGCCCGAGUUGUAAUUUGUAGAGGAUGCUUUUGGUGAGGUGCCUUCCGAGUUCCCUGGAACGGGACGCCAUAGAGGGUGAGAGCCCCGUCUGGUUGGACGCCGAACCUCUGUAAAGCUCCUUCGACGAGUCGAGUAGUUUGGGAAUGCUGCUCUAAAUGGGAGGUAUAUGUCUUCUAAAGCUAAAUACCGGCCAGAGACCGAUAGCGCACAAGUAGAGUGAUCGAAAGAUGAAAAGAACUUUGAAAAGAGAGUUAAACAGUACGUGAAAUUGUUGAAAGGGAAGCGCUUGUGACCAGACUUGGGCUUGGUUGAUCAUCCGGGGUUCUCCCCGGUGCACUCUUCCGGCCCAGGCCAGCAUCAGUUCGCCCUGGGGGACAAAGGCUUCGGGAACGUGGCUCUCUCCGGGGAGUGUUAUAGCCCGUUGCGUAAUACCCUGUGGCGGACUGAGGUUCGCGCAUUCGCAAGGAUGCUGGCGUAAUGGUCAUCAGUGACCCGUCUUGAAACACGGACCAAGGAGUCGUCUUCGUAUGCGAGUGUUCGGGUGUCAAACCCCUACGCGAAAUGAAAGUGAACGCAGGUGAGAGCUUCGGCGCAUCAUCGACCGAUCCUGAUGUUAUCGGAUGGAUUUGAGUAAGAGCAUACGGGGCCGGACCCGAAAGAAGGUGAACUAUGCCUGUGUAGGGUGAAGCCAGAGGAAACUCUGGUGGAGGCUCGCAGCGGUUCUGACGUGCAAAUCGAUCGUCAAACAUGGGCAUGGGGGCGAAAGACUAAUCGAACCUUCUAGUAGCUGGUUUCCGCCGAA
rnacentral:rRNA from 1 species